rnacentral:lncRNA from 1 species
UGAGGGGGAGAAUCUGAAUUUUUAAGAAAGCAAACUCAUUAAAUAUAUAUAAGCCAAACAAUUGAUUGCAUAACAUGAAGGCUUAUAUAAUUCCAAAUGAAAGGGGGAGCUUUAACUUCAAAAUUUAUUGUUUCACACCUUUCAGGUUUGGAUAAAUUAAAUAACCAGACACUUGAAUUCAUUUUAAAAUUAUACUAUAAAUCUCCUUGUUUGUUGAGCAAUUCACUUUACAUAUACUCAAUGUUUUGUCAUCAUCAAAAAGGGGGAGAUUGUGGAGUGAUUGAUUAUAACCCUAUUUGAUUUUGAUGAGCUCAAAGCAUUUGAGUAUAUCUUAUGUUUACUAAUGAAUUCAAUCUAGUGUUUCAGUGAAAUUCUUGUAAAUUUAUGGUUAAGUGUCUCUAGAUUUGGUUCGAUACAAUUUGGAUAAGUAAAGAACACAAUAUGAACCAAAGUCUGAGACUCGAGUCGACUCCGGGAUAUUACGAGUCGACUCCAAGCGU